rnacentral:lncRNA from 1 species
GAACCUCGAAGGCCCGUCAUUCUUAAACAAGCUGAGCCAAUGAAAACUUUGACUUAACAAAAGGUAAGGACUAAUUCAAAAGAUCUUCAAAGAUCUCAGAUAACCAUAAGCGAAGGAAGCCCCUCGUCCCUAGGACGAGCAAAGCUACAAGCAACAAUAGGAAAAAGAUUCUUUAGAGGAUCGAAAUAUUAGAAAUGUCGAUACGAGCUAAGAAAUUAUUACACAUAUCAAAGCCA